rnacentral:rRNA from 1 species
UAGAUGCGAGAGUAGAGCAUAUCAAUAAGCGGAGGAAAAGAAACUAACAAGGAUUCCCCUAGUAACGGCGAGUGAAGCGGGAAGAGCUCAAAUUUGAAAUCUUAAAGGGUUUCCCUUUACGAAUUGUAGUUUAAAGAAGUGUUUUCUGUUGGAGUUUCGGUAAAAGUUCUUUGGAAUAGGACAUCAUAGAGGGUGAGAAUCCCGUAUUUGACCGUUACUUUCCAGCUGUGUGAUACACUUUCAAAGAGUCGGAUUGUUUGGGAAUGCAGUCCAAAAUGGGUGGUAAAUUUCAUCUAAAGCUAAAUAUUGGCGAGAGACCGAUAGCGAACAAGUACCGUGAGGGAAAGAUGAAAAGAACCUUGAAAAGAGAGUUAAACAGUACGUGAAAUUGUCAAAAGGGAAGCGUUUGACACCAGUGUUGUUUAGUUGAAAAUCAAUUCAAUAAUUUUUGAUUUUGAGUAGUAUUGACUUCAUCAGCUUGCUGCUUUCUUUUCCGAAAUUAUUGAAUGCACUUUUCAGUUAACAAGUCAACAUCAAUUUCUUUUGUUGUAAAAGGGUAAGAGGAAGGUGGCUUACGCUUCGGCGUAAGUGUUUAUAGCCUUUUACCUCUGCAAUCGGAGAGAUUGAGGACAGCAGCGUAGACUCCUUCGGGGGUUAGAUACACUUGUGCUAAGCUAUAGCCUUGUAUAGACAACUUGUUGACUAUGCUCAGUCAUGUAGCUUACUCGCUUGUGCUAUUUUACCUACGCUUAGGAUGUUGACACACGCGCGUGCUCG